UGUCGUUUCGUAAUUUUGGCCGAAACGAGCUCCUCCAGUUCUUCCCCAUCUCCCAUUCCCCUCCCUCACGCUUUCCACACGGGGCGACAGAAUCUAGCAAUCCCUAGCCGCCGGAAUUCGACGGUCGUAGCCGGCGAGAGUCCACCGCCGACAGGAAGAGCCUCUCCGGUUGGAACGACCACCCACAUCGGGGGUGAGGGGAACCGCGCUGGCGUCGACCGACGGGAGAGACGCGGCGCGGCGGGCGCGGCGGGGAGAAGAGAGGAAGGGGGCGCGCGUGGGCGGCUGGCCGACGGGAACCAACGUGUCUCUGCCACAUCUACGAACUGCAGAACAACAGUUUCAUCAGGAGUGACAUAGACAAACAUUUUGAGAACAAGACACAGGCUAAGCCGAUGCGAAUCAAUUUCGUUCCCGACACUCAGGUUCUUGACAAGGAGAAUCCAAAGGAGUCGGGCCACUAAAGAUAAGGUAUUCCUGGCAACUGCAAAUAAAAUUAUGGAGGGGAUUAAAUCAAAUGCCCAAAGCAGGACAACAG